rnacentral:rRNA from 1 species
CACGUAGGGGGCAAGCGUUGUCCGGAUUUAUUGGGCGUAAAGAGCGUGUAGGCGGCCAGGUAGGUCUGCUGUGAAAACUCGAGGCUCAACCUCGAGACGUCGGCGGAAACCAUCUGGCUAGAGUCCGGAAGAGGAGAGUGGAAUUCCUGGUGUAGCGGUGAAAUGCGCAGAUAUCAGGAGGAACACCAAUAGCGAAGGCAGCUCGCUGGGACGGUACUGACGCUAAGGCGCGAAAGCGUGGGGAGCGAACAGG